rnacentral:rRNA from 1 species
AUACGGAGGAUCCGAGCGUUAUCCGGAUUUAUUGGGUUUAAAGGGUGCGCAGGCGGCCAUUUAAGUCAGCGGUUAAAUCGUGGGGCUCAACCCCAUUCUGCCGUUGAUACUGGGUGGCUUGAUUGCGGUCGAGGUUGGCGGAAUUCUUUGUGUAGGGGGGAAAUGCAUAGAUCUGACGAAGAACACCGAUUGCGUAGGCAGCUGACCAGAUCGCAAAUGACGCUCAUGCACGAAAGUGCGGGGAUCGAACAGGAUUAGAUACCCUGUUAGUCCGCACAGUAAACGAUGAAUACUUGUUUUCGGCGAUAUAAUGUCGGAGGCAAAGCGAAAGCGAUAAGUAUUCCACCUGGGGAGUACGCCGGCAACGGUGAAACUCAAAUGAAUUGGCGGGG